CUGAAAUUCUUGGUUUUUGAGAAUUUUAUGGGUGACUUUUAAUUUUUAUUUAAUAAAAUAAUAAAAUAUUAUUUAUCUAUAAUAAAAUAAUAAUAAAUAUCCUAAAUUAAAUAUUUGAAUUUGAACUGAUAUUUAUCUAUAAAGCAAAACACACUUACCGGCUUUGUUGGAAAGCCACAAAGAUGGGUAUCGAAUCGAAUCGCAGCAGAGGAAAGAUGGGUUGGUGGCUAAGACUGUGAAGCAGUGGAAUGUGAAGAUUAUCUCAUUAAGAUUUUUAUCACUAACAAUUUGAAAAAGAUGAAACUUUAGAAGGAUCAAAACUCAUCUAACAUAUAGAAAAAAAACUACAAAAAUUUUACAGCCUCCCAGUCCCAGUUACAAUAACAUCAAAAACAGCUUGCAACUUUUUGAGAUUCAGUCUCUCUCUCUCCACCCCUGACUUUGGUAACUGAAUAUGUUACCAACGUUGGAUUUGGAAGCUUAGCUAGGCUCUAGCUAAGUGAGGACCAUCGAUACAGCGACCAUUGAGAGAGAAUACCGAAGAGAAAGAAUGAAGCAGAACCGCCACAGCAGUCAUCGUGACUUGACCCCUCUUUGGAAUCAAACGCCCAGAAAACUUCUGGUUCAAAUUCCCACCACCUUCCAUCAAAGCCCUCUUAGCAUCAGCCAUUUUGCAAUCUGGUUUUCUCCCUUAAAACUCGUAUGGGUAUUUGAACUUGAACAGAGGAAAAACAAACACAGAAAAAGUGAAUGAUUAUAAGAAAUUGGAUAAAGUUGGAUAAGCAAGAACCGCCCCCAGAAGGUCGCUUGUCGAAUGCCACCAAAGGUUCUGAUCACUUGAGGGAUGUAUUUGGCCACAUGGGUCUUAGUGAUCAGGAUAUUGUUGUCUUAUCUGGAGGUCACAAUUCCCAGUUGUGGAUGUAUUGGUUCUACUUCGAUAUGAGGAUGAUCCUGUGACUGUGAGGAGACAAUAGAAUGGAGCUAAUUAUUAAGGAUUUAUGACUUGUUACACUCGUUAUGUGUGCCCUGAAUGUUAGGUAGAUGAGAUUAGAUUCCCAAAUUUGGAAAAAUUACCAUGUAGCUGCUUUGAGUUUUAUGGAUUGUGAAACCUUCUGUAUCCUAUAGCUGUAACAAUUUGCUGUUCUUAGUUUCUGUUGUUUUAAGGUUUACAUUACAUAGUGGAGUGAAGUAUGAGGUUUGAUGAAUAUAUACCAUGGUAGUGGUUAUGUGAAAA